rnacentral:rRNA from 1 species
GACGAACGCUGGCGGCGUGCUUAACACAUGCAAGUCGAACGAAGGGGCGAACGGGUGAGUAACGCGUAUUCAACCUGCCCUUCAGAGGGGGACAACAGUUGGAAACGACUGCUAAUACCGCAUAAUGCAGGAGGGGAUUGAGUGUGAUUAGCUAGUUGGUGGGGUAACGGCCCACCAAGGCGAUGAACAGUAGCCGGUCUGAGAGGAUGAACGGCCACAUUGGGACUGAGACACGGCCCAGACUCCUACGGGAGGCAGCAGUGGGGAAUCUGCCGCAAUGGACGAAAGUCUGACGGAGCAACGCCGCGGGAGGGAUGACGGUCUUCGGGUUGUAAAGCUCUGUUAAUCGGGACGCGGUACCUGAAUAGAAAGCCACGGCUAACUACGUGCCAGCAGCCGCGGUAAUUC